rnacentral:rRNA from 1 species
GGGGGCCCUCAUGCAGGUCGAGCGAGCUUGCCUAGAUGAUUUUAGUGCUUGCACUAAAUGAAACUAGAUACAAGCGAGCCGUGGACGGGUGAGUAACACGUGGGUAACCUGCCCAAGAGACUGGGAUAACACCUGGAAACAGAUGCUAAUACCGGAUAACAACACUAGACGCAUGUCUAGAGUUUGAAAGAUGGUUCUGCUAUCACUCUUGGAUGGACCUGCGGUGCAUUAGCUAGUUGGUAAGGUAACGGCUUACCAAGGCAAUGAUGCAUAGCCGAGUUGAGAGACUGAUCGGCCACAUUGGGACUGAGACACGGCCCAAACUCCUACGGGAGGCAGCAGUAGGGAAUCUUCCACAAUGGACGAAAGUCUGAUGGAGCAACGCCGCGUGAGUGAAGAAGGGUUUCGGCUCGUAAAGCUCUGUUGGUAGUGAAGAAAGAUAGAGGUAGUAACUGGCCUUUAUUUGACGGUAAUUACUUAGAAAGUCACGGCUAACUACGUGCCAGCAGCCGCGGUAAUACGUAGGUGGCAAGCGUUGUCCGGAUUUAUUGGGCGUAAAGCGAGUGCAGGCGGUUCAAUAAGUCUGAUGUGAAAGCCUUCGGCUCAACCGGAGAAUUGCAUCAGAAACUGUUGAACUUGAGUGCAGAAGAGGAGAGUGGAACUCCAUGUGUAGCGGUGGAAUGCGUAGAUAUAUGGAAGAACACCAGUGGCGAAGGCGGCUCUCUGGUCUGCAACUGACGCUGAGGCUCGAAAGCAUGGGUAGCGAACAGGAUUAGAUACCCUGGUAGUCCAUGCCGUAA